AUAUAGUAAAUUAGUAAUAACUCAAAUAUUGAUAAAACAAAACACAAAAAUGUUAGUGCUUGCAUGUUCAUCUUUUGGGGAGCCGAAUGUUGGAGAAGAAAAGCUUUGAAAUUUCGGCAAUUUGAGAUCAAAAUUCAAGAAAUGGCUUAAAAUUGUUGAUAUGUUUUCAUUUUUAAGAGGCUGAUCCAUAAAACAGAGUUUACUUCAGACUUCACAGGAUUUAAGAAAGAUGGGGCACAAUGGUUGGUUGAUAACACAGACAUCAAACUUGUAGGCAUCAUAUCAGGAGGGUGUUGAUUAAAGAUCGGUUGCCAAAAACGGGUUUCUAAUGGAAGAGUCAAUUAUAUAAACGAUCGAGAAAAAUGCUGAGGUCCGAGAUUGGUCUCUAAGAACCCAAAAAGAAAAAAGGGGGCAGUUUAAUGGAAGGAUGUAUUCCCAACCUACCCGAGCACGUAACUGUGAACGUUCGUCAGAAUAACCUUGAUGACUUGACUCAGAUUUGGAGACAGUGGGAUUCGGACAUUAGGGGCAUCUUCACUAAAAGGUACGGGGAUAUAGCCAGCCUGAUCGCUGUCAACAUAGAUGAAAGAUUGAUUCAGGCGAUGAUCAGAUUCUAGGAUCCGGCUUACCAGUGUUUCCUUUUCAAUCAAGAAGAUAUGACCCCAACCGUGGAAUAGUACGCUGCUUUACUUCGUAUUGAUAAUGUGCAAUUCUACAAAUUUAUGUGAAGGAGCCCAAGCCGAUGACUUUCAAGAAAAAGCUGGUAAAGUUGACUGGCUUGACCGACACAUGAGCCGAGAAACAAAUAAAGAAAAAGAAUGAAAUCAGCUGUAUUCUGUGGUUUUCCCUGCGGGAUUUAGUCCUAAAUCAUCCCGAUAUUUUGAAGAGAAUGAAUCUGUUUGCUUUGGCCAUUUACGGAUUGGUCAUCUUCUCAAAAGUUCUAGGACAUAUAGAGGUAGCAGUAGUGGACUUCUUUGAAAAGUUAAAACAAGGAAUCAACCCUAUCCCAACUAUUUUCGCUGAGACCUUCAGAUCCCUAAGCAGUUGUAGGAGGAAAGGGGAAGGACGCUUUAUCGGAUGUGCGCAAUUGCUUAAUGUUUGGAUUUUGAGCCAUUUCUGGAAAGUAAAGCAUACACCGUACCACAUGUUUUCAAAAACCUUCGCCCCGUUGGAAGCCUAUCUUGAGAGAGAAUUGCCAAAGGAUGUCACCGAAGAGCAUUGGGUUUCAGUUUUUCAGAACCUUCAUGUAACACUCCUUACCCGAGACUGUUACUAGAAUCGAGCACGAGGCAUUACUAAACUUAAUCUAUCCCUUAAAUAGGUUUAAAUUGUUUAUUUAAGCUUUUCGAAAUGUGCUGCCAUUCUGCGUCGUAGUCGCCUAAAAAGUCAUAUCUUGAGUUUCGAAACUCAAAAUUAAGAUCCGCAAAUUUUUCCUGAAA